ACAAGCGGCGGAGCAUGCGGAUUAAUUCGAUGCAACGCGAAGAACCUUACCAAGGCUUGACAUACACCGGUAACGCCCAGAGAUGGGUGCCCCUUUGUGGUCGGUGUACAGGUGGUGCAUGGUUGUCGUCAGCUCGUGUCGUGAGAUGUUGGGUUAAAGUCCCCGCAACGAGCGCAACCCUCGUCCUAUGUUGCCAGCGGGUCAUGCCGGGGACUCAUGGGAGACUGCCGGGGUCAACUCGGAGGAAGGUGGGGAUGACGUCAAAUCAUCAUGCCCCUUAUGUCUUGGGCUUCACGCAUGCUACAAUGGCCGGUACAAAGGGCUGCGAUACCGGCGAGGUGGAGCGAAUCCCAGAAAGCCGGUCUCAGUUCGGAUUGGGGUCUGCAACUCGACCCCAUGAAGUCGGAGUCGCUAGUAAUCGCAGAUCAGCAACGCUGCGGUGAAUACGUUCCCGGGCCUU
rnacentral:rRNA from 1 species